rnacentral:lncRNA from 1 species
AACUGUACUUGAUACAUUUGAGCUAAUGCAUCACUUCCUGGUUUUUUGCACUAAAAAAUCCUUCUUGUAAAUAGUAGUAGAAAAAUUCUUACUAUGCAGAUAAACAUUUUUCAGUGGUGAAUGGACUUUUUUUUUCUAUGUCAAUAAUAAGGGUAGAGAAUCUGCAGAGGUGUGCCUUUGUGCAUCCCUGAACAUUCAUCAGCUGCUAAAAACAGGACACUAAGGGAACUUUGACUCCAUAGUCUGUUAAGGCUUAGUCGUAUUUAUUACUGAACGAUUUGAUGCUGAAAGACACACACCAAUCCAGUUUACAGUUUUGUGUUAACUGCAAAAAAAAAUAUUUCUUACAGGAUUAUUUCUGUUCACAUAAUAUUUGGCAACAUGCUGUGACUUGCAGAUAUACAAAAGCAUUGGUUUUGACACUACAUCUGAAAAUGUUAAGAAUUGCUGUGAAGUGCCACUAGUACACUAUUCUUGCAGCAUUAUUUUUAUUAAUAGUAUCUUCCUGACUAUCUGUAAUGUGGAUGCAUUUUCCAUGUUACUUUGAGCAAAAAAGAGUUAAAUGUUUUUAAACCAAGAGUCAAGCUUAGCUCGUUGCCCAGAGGGGAGGGAGAAGGGGGAUUUUCUACUGAGCCACUCUGCCCUGGCCAAUUAAAAGUUUAUGACCUGUAGAUUUCAAAAGUUGCUUUUGUAGUCGGAUGACUGGAGUAAAUAGCAUGACUUCUGGUCGUGCAGCUUUCUCAUGGGAAAAGCAAUUCAGUGCACAGGCUCUUUUCUCAGCAGAUCCUGCCUGCUGCAGCAGCCUGCUAGCACAGCCCUUGCAGGAGCCCUGCUGUGGUGAAAGGAAAAUGCCCAGGACAAUAAUGCUUCCUAAUAAUAUCAAACUGAUGAGCAAAGAAAUAGCACCCACAUUCCCAACUGAUGAUGUGACAAAGAUCAAGAAAUUCUGCAAAACUCAAACCAAAGGUAAUGAGAAUGUUCUCAACAAUGGGGCAUGCAUUAAAGGAGACAUCAAUAUCUUAUUAUUAGGUAAGAGCGUGUAGAGUUAAUAGUGCAUUGAUAAGUUAUUUUAUUAUCCCCCCUCCUCAUCAUGCCAGUGUAGCUCUGUUAUGCAAUAUUAGCAAGAAAAUAAAAGCCAACCCAGUACAAAGACUCA